rnacentral:rRNA from 1 species
AUUGAACGCUGGCGGAAUGCUUUACACAUGCAAGUCGAACGGCAGCACGGGGGCAGCCCUGGUGGCGAGUGGCGAACGGGUGAGUAAUACAUCGGAACGUGCCCGGUCGUGGGGGAUAACGUAGCGAAAGUUACGCUAAUACCGCAUACGAUCUGAGGAUGAAAGCGGGGGACCUUCGGGCCUCGCGCGAUCGGAGCGGCCGAUGUCAGAUUAGGUAGUUGGUGGGGUAAAGGCCUACCAAGCCGACGAUCUGUAGCUGGUCUGAGAGGACGACCAGCCACACUGGGACUGAGACACGGCCCAGACUCCUACGGGAGGCAGCAGUGGGGAAUUUUGGACAAAGGGCGCAAGCCUGAUCCAGCCAUUCCGCGUGCAGGACGAAGGCCUUCGGGUUGCAAACUGCUUUUGUACGGAACGAAAAGGCUCUGGCUAAUACCUGGGGCUCAUGACGGUACCGUAAGAAUAAGCACCGGCUAACUACGUG